rnacentral:lncRNA from 1 species
GAACACUUCAACCAAGAUAUCGAUGAAGCAAAGAACUUGAUUACAAGGUACAAUCGUGACUAUCAAUGCCUAGCUAUUUUUCGGACUUGACUAACACAAAGGGUGCAAUCUGUAGGUUCAGGGAGCUCCUGUGCUUUUUCCGAGUAAAGAUGACUUUCAUGCUAGAUUUUCUUUCAAGAUAACAAUAAAGCCUAGGAGCAUCCCUGUCCAUGGAACAAUACUGGAGUGAUAUAGUGCAACGGUCUUGCAUUUCUCAAUGCCUCUAUCUUUAUUUUCAUUGUUAUCGUAAUUCAGUGUGGUAUUUAGAAAUUUAGAAUCCUUGUGCUAUGAUGUUGUGUAUUUUGCAACCCAAUAUACUCUCCUGUUAACUGAAUGUGAUCAUUUUUAAUCGUUGGUUUAUAUGCUUGUGGAUGUCUGAUGUGAAGAAGCAGAGCUUGUUUUGUGGAUGGAUGCAUUGGUUUAUGUUACCAGCCUUUUUGAUUUGUUCUUAGAAUAUGGAGUUGGUUAUGAUGAAUGACGUGCUCCACUGGGAAAAUAUAUUCAGUGCUCUUUUUGGCCUGUCUAUGUUUUUUCUUAGAUAUGUUUUGUAAUAUUAGUCGAAACGUGCAUUUGCACGUGCAUACUUACUAGUAUUUAGAAA